GCCCUUAGAGUUUGAUCCUGGCUCAGGACGAACGCUGGCGGCGCGCCUAACACAUGCAAGUCGAACGAGUGAGAGAGAGCUUGCUUUCUCGAGCGAGUGGCGAACGGGUGAGUAACGCGUGAGGAACCUGCCUCAAAGAGGGGGACAACAGUUGGAAACGACUGCUAAUACCGCAUAAGCCCACGGUGCCGCAUGGCACAGAGGGAAAAGGAGCAAUCCGCUUUGAGAUGGCCUCGCGUCCGAUUAGCUAGUUGGUGAGGUAACGGCCCACCAAGGCAACGAUCGGUAGCCGGACUGAGAGGUUGAACGGCCACAUUGGGACUGAGACACGGCCCAGACUCCUACGGGAGGCAGCAGUGGGGAAUAUUGCACAAUGGGGGAAACCCUGAUGCAGCGACGCCGCGUGGAGGAAGAAGGUCUUCGGAUUGUAAACUCCUGUUGUUGGGGAAGAUAAUGACGGUACCCAACAAGGAAGGACGGCUACUCUG
rnacentral:rRNA from 1 species